GCUGGGCGUGGUGGCGGGCGCCUGUAAUCCCAGCUACUUGGGAGGCUGAGGCAGAAGAAUUGCUUGAACCUAGGAGGUGGAGGUUGCAGUGAGCUGAGAUCGUGCCAUUGCAUUCCAGCCUGGGUGACAGGGUGAGACUCUGUCUCAA
rnacentral:SRP_RNA from 2 species